CGCUCGUAGUCGGAUUUCGGGGCGGGCCGACCGGUCUGCCGAUGGGUAUGCACUGGCCGGCGCGUCCUUCCACCCGGAGACCGCGCCUACUCUUAACUGAGCGGGCGCGGGAGACGGGUCUUUUACUUUGAAAAAAUCAGAGUGUUUCAAGCAGGCAGUCGCUCUUGCAUGGAUUAGCAUGGGAUAAUGAAAUAGGACUCUGGUGCUAUUUUGUUGGUUUCGAACACCGGAGUAAUGAUUAACAGGGACAGUCAGGGGCACUCGUAUUCCGCCGAGAGAGGUGAAAUUCUCAGACCAGCGGAAGACGAACCACUGCGAAAGCAUUUGCCAGGGAUGUUUUCACUGAUCAAGAACGAAAGUUAGGGGAUCGAAGACGAUCAGAUACCGUCGUAGUCUUAACCAUAAACCAUGCCGACUAGGGAUUGGAGGAUGUUCCAUUUGUGACUCCUUCAGCACCUUUCGGGAAACUAAAGUCUUUGGGUUCCGGGGGGAGUAUGGUCGCAAGGCUGAAACUUAAAGGAAUUGACGGAAGGGCACCACCAGGAGUGGAGCCUGCGGCUUAAUUUGACUCAACACGGGGAAACUUACCAGGUCCAGACAUUGUGAGGAUUGACAGAUUGAGAGCUCUUUCUUGAUUCGAUGGGUGGUGGUGCAUGGCCGUUCUUAGUUG
rnacentral:rRNA from 1 species